rnacentral:rRNA from 1 species
GAUGAACGCUGGCGGCGUGCCUAAUACAUGCAAGUCGAGCGAACGGACGAGAAGCUUGCUUCUCUGAUGUUAGCGGCGGACGGGUGAGUAACACGUGGAUAACCUACCUAUAAGACUGGGAUAACUUCGGGAAACCGGAGCUAAUACCGGAUAAUAUUUUGAACCGCAUGGUUCAAAAGUGAAAGACGGUCUUGCUGUCACUUAUAGAUGGAUCCGCGCUGCAUUAGCUAGUUGGUAAGGUAACGGCUUACCAAGGCAACGAUGCAUAGCCGACCUGAGAGGGUGAUCGGCCACACUGGAACUGAGACACGGUCCAGACUCCUACGGGAGGCAGUAGUAGGGAAUCUUCCGCAAUGGGCGAAGGCCUGACGGAGCAACGCCGCGUGAGUGAUGAAGGUCUUCGGAUCGUAAAACUCUGUUAUUAGGGAAGAACAUAUGUGUAAGUAACUGUGCACAUCUUGACGGUACCUAAUCAGAAAGCCACGGCUAACUACGUG